ACCGGCUUUUUGGGAUUCGCUCCACCUUACGGUAUCGCAGCCCUCUGUACCGGCCAUUGUAGCAUGCGUGAAGCCCAAGACAUAAGGGGCAUGAUGAUUUGACGUCAUCCCCACCUUCCUCCGAGUUGACCCCGGCAGUCUCCCAUGAGUCCCCGGCAUAACCCGCUGGCAACAUAGGACGAGGGUUGCGCUCGUUGCGGGACUUAACCCAACAUCUCACGACACGAGCUGACGACAACCAUGCACCACCUGUGUACGAGUGUCCAAAGAGAACCCCGUCUCGGGGGCUUUCUCGUACAUGUCAAGCCUUGGUAAGGUUCUUCGCGUUGCAUCGAAUUAAUCCGCAUGCUCCGCCGCUUGUGCGGGCCCCCGUCAAUUCCUUUGAGUUUUAGCCUUGCGGCCGUACUCCCCAGGCGGGGCACUUAAUGCGUUAGCUGCGGCACGGAACUCGUGGAAUGAGCCCCACACCUAGUGCCCAACGUUUACGGCAUGGACUACCAGGGUAUCUAAUCCUGUUCGCUCCCCAUGCUUUCGCUCCUCAGCGUCAGUUGCGGCCCAGAGACCUGCCUUCGCCAUCGGUGUUCCUCCUGAUAUCUGCGCAUUCCACCGCUACACCAGGAAUUCCAGUCUCCCCUACCGCACUCUAGUCUGCCCGUACCCGAUGCAAGCCCGAGGUUGAGCCUCGGGAUUUCACACCAGACGCGACAGACCGCCUACGAGCUCUUUACGCCCAAUAAUUCCGGACAACGCUUGCGCCCUACGUAUUACCGCGGCUGCUGGCGCGUAGUUAGCCGGCGCUUCUUCUGCAGGUACCGUCACUUGCGCUUCUUCCCUGCUGAAAGAGGUUUACAACCCGAAGGCCGUCAUCCCUCACGCGGCGUCGCUGCAUCAGGCUUGCGCCCAUUGUGCAAUAUUCCCCACUGCUGCCUCCCGUAGGAGUCUGGGCCGUGUCUCAGUCCCAGUGUGGCCGGUCGCCCUCUCAGGCCGGCUACCCGUCGACGCCUUGGUAGGCCAUCACCCCACCAACAAGCUGAUAGGCCGCGAGCCCAUCCCCCACCGAAAAACUUUCCAACCCACACCAUGCGAUGCGAGCUCAUAUCCGGUAUUAGACCCCGUUUCCAAGGCUUAUCCCAAAGUGGAGGGCAGGUUGCUCACGUGUUACUCACCCGUUCGCCACUGAUCCACCCAGCAAGCUGGGCUUCACCG
rnacentral:rRNA from 1 species